UGUACUUUCACUCGUGAUAAGACAGAGUUGUUUUGCCAACCUUCACAUUGCAGAACUUUAUAUCAGCUGCGUCACACAGAGGAAACAACAUAUUAACUGAAUUGUUUACAAGGGAAUUGGAGAUCUGUCCUGUAUUUAAAAACUGAAGUAACAAAACGGAAGUAGCCAAAAACAUCAAACUUCCUUCAGAGGAUGCCUUCGCCUAAAUAUAUUUUAAACGAAACACUUAAAUUUCUGAAACAAAAGCCAUUUUUCAGCACUUUUCCAUCAAGUCUUUUGUUAAUUGGAUUGGAGGAGUUGAUUGAAAAACAGUUUUUUUCAUGCCCUUGCAAAUAUGAACAGAAUGCACUGCUAACAACAUCCAUCUUCACUGGACCUACUCUUUUUAUUUUUGCUUUAAUGUUCUUCUGUUUUAGGGCAUUUAAACAGGAAUGGUUUCAUUGUGAUGGAAAUGAAAUGAAGAAAACAGAGAAAAAGAAGAAAACGAAGAAAAUGAAAAAAGAAAAUGAAGAAAAUGAUGAUGAAGGAAAUGAUGAGCUGAGCGAUGCAAAGGUUUUUGCUUAUUGCCUGUUUCCACCUCUUAUGUGGGUCAUCAUCUUGUUAUUUGAUGGUGAUUAUGUUGCUUGUGGCAUGACUGACUGGAAGGGAGUUUAUGGUUUUGAUAAGGAGCUCAGCAGGUCUUGGUGUAAACCUACUGGAGUGAUGCGAAAUGAGGCCAAGCUACGAGAUUUGAAUGGCAAAUAUAUUUAUCAUUCUCAGUUUGCAGGUUACAUUAUGGUUGCUGUCUUCAGUUUUGUGGCAGUCAUCUUUAUUGUUAUUUAUAAUUGCUGCAUAAGUAAAAAAUGUGAUUCCUGCUCAAAACAAUUAUCCUGUGGCAGACGAACAGCAGAGCCACAGAGUGAGGGACAAGGUGAUGACCACGAACCAGAAUCUGUACCACUUGGAACUGUAAACACUUCCUCCAGCACUUCAACUGUAUAAAUUUAAUUCAGGUUUAAUUUGAUUGAGGUUCAUGCAAGGGACCAAAACAGACACCAUGCAAUGAGACAAUAAACUUACUAAUCUGAAGAAAAGAUCAUGAAGCAAGGAAACAGAAAUCCAUUUGCUUGAUCUUCUCUCCUCACCCAUCCUAAAUCCCUCUCUCCCCACUCCUUUUCCUUUCACUCUGGCUGAAAGUUCACAAAGAAUGGCAAUACAUAUGAUGAAUCUUGUGCAUCUAUUGCUUUUUCUCUUUCAUGUUUGGUAUUACUUUAAAUGUCUCGGUGCGAUUGGUAAAAUUGUCUUAAUUUCACAGAAGUCAUUUAUAUUAUGAGAAAGAUUGAAAACUCUGAAUUCUGUUUAGUUGUUAGAGGGUUGUGGGUAACACUUUAUUUUAGAGUGUUUUAACUAAUUGCUUAUUAGCAUGCAUAUUACUAGAAUAAUGGCUGUUUAUUAGUACUUAUUAAGCACAUAUUAAUGCCUUAUUCUGCAUGACCUUAUUCUACAUUCUUAAGCCUACCCAAUACCUAAACUUAACAACUACCUUACUGACUAUUAAUAAGCAUUAAAUUAGGAGUUUGUGUAUUUAUCAUUUCUGGUUUGGCUUCUUAUUGUUUAAUUAAUUGGCAUGAUACAUUUUUACCUGACAAAUAAAAUGUUAUAUUUGAUUGAUUCUGUAUUCUUCUGAAAUAUAUAUUUUUAAGUAGAUUAAAGUGGAGUCUGGUGUUACCGCAAAUAUUGUGUCCAGGAUAGGAUAAUCUGAAGCCCCACGAAUGAAUGGAGCAUAGGGCACAUCAUCAACUCAUAAUAAGGACCGAUGCCCACCCACCACAAUCUCACAAAAUCCUGUGGGAAACACUGUGGCAACUUAUAAUGUAAUCACAGUUCAUAAGGACCCCACGUCAGACGUUUUUUUCUGACGUCAUGACACACGAGCCUGUUCUGAACUUCUGCUCGACCACCAUUUUCUUUUUCUCUCCGGACUCGGAUGAAAAAGAAGGCAAUUACAUCAGCAUAGAAAAAAACAUGGACAAAUACAAUAAAUGAAAGAUGCAAAUGAAACUGCUUUAAAUUUUCAGGUAAAAUAGGUAUAGCAGCAUUCAAGUAAGACACAUAAUAAUCAAAUGAAAAAAUAAAACUGCAUAUUUUUCACUGUAUGAAUAAAACGUGUACUGAUUCUA